rnacentral:rRNA from 1 species
AACGAACGCUGGCGGCAUGCCUAACACAUGCAAGUCGAACGAGACCUUCGGGUCUAGUGGCGCACGGGUGCGUAACGCGUGGGAACCUGCCCUUAGGUUCGGAAUAACUCCCCGAAAGGGGUGCUAAUACCGGAUAAUGUCUUCGGACCAAAGAUUUAUCGCCUUUGGAUGGGCCCGCGUUGGAUUAGCUAGUUGGUAGGGUAAAAGCCUACCAAGGCGACGAUCCAUAGCUGGUCUGAGAGGAUGAUCAGCCACACUGGGACUGAGACACGGCCCAGACUCCUACGGGAGGAAGCAGUGGGGAAUAUUGGACCAUGGGCGAAAGCCUGAUCCAGCAAUGCCGCGUGAGUGAUGAAGGCCUUAGGGUUGUAAAGCUCUUUUACCCGGGAUGAUAAUGACAGUACCGGGAGAAUAAGCUCCGGCUAACUCCGUG